AUUGAACGCUGGCGGCAGGCCUAACACAUGCAAGUCGAACGAGUGGCGGACGGGUGAGUAAUGUCUGGGAAACUGCCCGAUGGAUGGGGAUAACUACUGGAAACGGUAGCUAAUACCGCAUACCAUCGGAUGUGCCCAGAUGGUAUUAGCUAGUAGGUGGGGUAACGGCGCACCUAGGCGACGAACCCUAGCUAGUCUGAGAGGAUGACCAGCCACACUGGAACUGAAACACGUUCCAGACUCCUACGGGAGGGAGAAGUGGAGAAUAUUGCACGAAGGGCGAAAGCCUGAUGCAGGCAUGGCGCGUGUAUGAAGAAGGCCUUCGGGUUGUAAAGUACUUUCAGCGAGGAGGCGUUACUCGAGGAGGAAGGACCGGCUAACUCCGUGCCAGCAGCCGCGGUAAUAC
rnacentral:rRNA from 1 species